UAUUUGGCCAAAAGGAAGGGUACUAGGA
rnacentral:piRNA from 1 species